rnacentral:rRNA from 1 species
CCUACGGGAGGCAGCAGUAGGGAAUCUUCCGCAAUGGACGAAAGUCUGACGGAGCAACGCCGCGUGAACGAUGAAGGCCUUCGGGUCGUAAAGUUCUGUUGUUAGGGAAGAACAAGUGCUAGUUAAAUAAGCUGGCACCUUGACGGUACCUAACCAGAAAGCCACGGCUAACUACGUGCCAGCAGCCGCGGUAAUACGUAGGUGGCAAGCGUUGUCCGGAAUUAUUGGGCGUAAAGCGCGCGCAGGCGGUUUCUUAAGUCUGAUGUGAAAGCCCCCGGCUCAACCGGGGAGGGUCAUUGGAAACUGGGAAACUUGAGUGCAGAAGAGGAAAGUGGAAUUCCAAGUGUAGCGGUGAAAUGCGUAGAGAUUUGGAGGAACACCAGUGGCGAAGGCGACUUUCUGGUCUGUAACUGACGCUGAGGCGCGAAAGCGUGGGGAGCAAACAGGAUUAGAUACCCUGGUAGUCCACGCUGUAAACGAUGAGUGCUAAGUGUUAGAGGGUUUUCCGCCCUUUAGUGCUGAAGUUAACGCAUUAAGCACUCCGCCUGGGGANACGGUCGCAAGCUGAAACUCAAAUGAAUUGACGGCUGAGCCGNGCGAGACGACACGAGGGAGAG